ensembl:antisense 4930551O13Rik RIKEN cDNA 4930551O13 gene
AGUGGAAUCAAGAUACCUUAAGAACAAUCCGAGUCGUAAUGAAUUGACUGUAAUGAAGAGACUGGCUCCCAGGGAAACCAUGAAGCUAUAACUAAACAACCCUUUCAAACCUCACAGUGAGUUUUCUGAGGGGCAAAGCAGAAGCUGGCUCACAGUCAGUUCUUCAAACUCCGCACAACUCCUGGCAUCCUCUGUACAGUUGCUCCUAAAAAGACAUCACUGCCAUAUUCAGUAUGGAAAAUAAAAAGGUUUUGAUCUGAACAAAAAUGUCAAGAGUAAGAGAGAAGCAUGAUACAACCGAAAUCCAUGUCCUCCAAUCAGUUCUUGACUGCCCUAAGCACAGCUGAGCCAAGCCUUGUAUGCACACAACGAAGGCUAUGGGGACCAGCAAUGCUUCAAGGGCGCUAACCUCAUAAUGUCAGCACUCACUCCAAAGAGGUACUGUGUCCACAAGGCCACAGAAUCCACAGGGACAGCUCAGCAGCUGUGCAGGAGAUGCCACCCUCUCCAGAGAUCAGUUUCAGAGAGGACUUUGGGCUGACUACUCAGGUCCAUUCAGACCUGAAUGGACCCACUGCAACUGGUCAGAGACUAUCACCUUUGUGAGUCAAGGAAUAAAAAAAAAACUUUUCUGGCUUUGGUUUGCACACGAAGCAGAGAUGUGUAGAUACUACCAGCAAAUGUUUUACUAAGUUUCAGAAUCUUAUCAAGAGGCACAUUCACGACAAACUGUGACCAUCACCCAGUAAUGGAAUGUUCAGAGCAAUGACGAUGACGAAGGUACCAGGGACGGCAGCUAGCCUUUCAGGCAUCUGCCAGGCUCAUAUAUCUGAACACCAGGAUUAGACUCCAAGGCUGCAGCCCCAAGUCUAGAAGCCAAUCUCAGAACUUAUCAGCCUCAUAAAGCUUACGAGCUAUGGCAUGAAAGAGGAAGUGGUCUCUGUAUAUGGAAAUAAAUGAAUGGGAAGUGGCUUAAAAUUUCCAAAUAGUUUUUCUUUCCUCUGCUUCCAGGAAAGUCUUGAUAGUAAAAGCAGCAAUUUGAGGAAAGUUGACUUCUAAACC